rnacentral:lncRNA from 1 species
CGGCUCAGGGAGGGGGCUGCCUGCAAAGGCAUUGUUGCUGUUGUUAUUCUGUUCACUGCCCCACUGCCUCCAGUUGCUAUGACAACAGGCCACUUUGGGCCUGCCUCCUCUCUACAUGGCAAUGCCCAAUGGUGGGGUUGCUAAGAGCAACAAGAGUUAUCUGGAGGGCUUCCCAAAGCCCUCACCUGGAAUACUGGGAUUUGUUUAUUUGUUUAUUUAUUUAUUUAUUUUUGAUGAGGUCACCAGAAAUAAUUUCAUCGGAUCAGAUCCCUGCUCUUGACUCUGGGACAUCAGGGAAACUCCAGCUCGGACCAGAGCUUGGGAGCACAAGGCCCAGUCACCAGCCAUCCAUGAAGCACUCAUCGGCAGACUCCCG